ACGGAAGGCAGCAGUCGGGAAUAUUGCGCAAUGGAGGAAACUCUGACGCAGUGACGCCGCGUAUAGGAAGAAGGUUUUCGGAUUGUAAACUAUUGUCGUUAGGGAAGAAAUUUGACAGUACCUAAGGAGGAAGCACCGGCUGACUAUGUGCCAGCAGCCGCGGUAAUACAUAGGGUGCAAGCGUUAUCCGGAUUUAUUGGGUGUAAAGGGUGCGUAGACGGGAAUUUAAGUUGGUUGUGAAAUCCCUCGGCUCAACUGAGGAACUGCAACCAAAACUGAAUUUCUUGAGUGUCGGAGAGGAAAGUGGAAUUCCUAGUGUAGCGGUGAAAUGCGUAGAUAUUAGGAGGAACACCGGUGGCGAAGGCGACUUUCUGGACGAUAACUGACGUUGAGGCACGAAAGUGUGGGGAGCAAACAGGAUUAGAUACCCUGGUA
rnacentral:rRNA from 1 species